rnacentral:tRNA from 1 species
GGCCCGGUGGCACAGUGGUUAGGACUGCAGCUCUGCACGGAGGAGGUUGUGGGUUCGAGUCCCGGCCAGCCG